UACGGGGGGAGCAAGCGUUGUUCGGAUUUACUGGGCGUAAAGGGCGCGUAGGCGGCUCGGCACGUCCGUUGUGAAAUCGCCCGGCUCAACUGGGCGGGGUCAGCGGAUACGGUCGAGCUUGAGCAAGCUAGGGGGCAAUGGAAUUCCCGGUGUAGUGGUGGAAUGCGUAGAUAUCGGGAGGAACACCAGUGGCGAAGGCGGUUGCCUGGGGCUUUGCUGACGCUGAUGCGCGAAAGCGUGGGGAGCGAGUCCGG
rnacentral:rRNA from 1 species